AGCACCGCAGAAACAAGGCGCUCAUUGUCAGAGACGGUGGUAGGAGUGGACGGACGAAUUGUCCCAAUGAUUUCGUUACGCAACGAUUAUCCUCUCCUAGAAUAACCCGAGUUUCCGCAAGGAAGAACAGAGGAGUGUAACCCUGAGGAGACUUCAGAGUCAACUACAGCUUAAAGAAUGGCCACCCCCCUCUGCUUGCUUGAUCCUUGGGGACUGAUACCUGCUACAUUGCCUUUUGCAGUUCGAUGAAGAAUAAAAGGCUGUAAAGCCUUGGGGACCAGAGCUACUUUCUUGCCUGGGAAAGUUACAAGAGGAAAACACCAUCGUUCCCAUUUCUUCUGUCUUCUCAAAGUAUGUGCUUUGUUUCUAGAACAACACAGAAAAUACCUUAAUAACUGUAUUAUGUAAUAAGCAAUUAUUAUAAUUUUGCAUAGACAUUCUCAAAGCACUGGGCUCCUUUUGCUCUCCUUUACAAAUGAGCUUGGACCAUGGAGUGGGAACCAUGACAACUCCCAAAUUCAUUUAGCAACAUUGAUCCCAGGCAGGCAAUUAGGCCUUAUGCCAGUGAUGUCUCUCACUGCACUCUGCUCUUACAGCUGAGAGACCUUCCUCCUGCCACCCAGCCCUACCCUAGAUCAGGUCAGGGGGGAUAUUGACUUUUCACAAUGGCCCCACAGUCCUAAAUGUGCCCAGCAGCCAUCAUGUAUUGAGACUUCUGGCAAUGGCUGUUUUGUGUCUUCUCUCCCUUUAGCAUGUUUUAUUUAAAUUUCACAGAUAAUGAAAUAGUCAUAUCCUCCACAGUAAGAUAACUUAUUCGUGAGUAGUGGUUGAAUAUUAACUGUAUUUUCUGAGAUGUCUGAAAGAAAUAUCUAUUUUUUGACUGCAAUUUGGAGGCAGGGGAGUUAUCCAUGGCCAUCUGGGACUGGGGCCAAGGCUUUAACCCUGAAGUUCAUUUCUCAUUGGUAUUGAUGUUCUUCUAUGGGGAGGAAGUUGCCCAGGAGUGAAAACAUGACUCUGCCAAAAUAGAAUUUUAUUUUAAGCUGGCUUAUUUCCUCAUUUAGUGACCUUGCUUAGUUUCUUCCUCCUGCGCCUGUGUCUCUGUCUCUUUAAUCAAUACAGACAUAGCACUUAUUCUGUCUCUGUAUGAUUUGAUAUUUUUGCAAUCUUAAUUGUUAAAGAGACUGGCAGCCUAAACUUUCAGCCUGGAUUUAUUUCUUGUUCCAUUGGUGACUCAUUAACUGAACCUGGAUAGAUUCUUCAUCCUUGGUGCUUUAUGCUUCCCUUCUGUAAAAUGGGAUUAUCAGUGAAACUCUUUUCCUGUCUCAUGGGAAUGCAAGAGGACAUAUUUGUGAGAGAGAUUGGGUGAUUAGAUUUGAUUUUUAUGGAUAUUUAGAUUCCAAAUAGAUGUGUUUGCUCAUUUCUCUGUUACCUCCCUGUUCCUAAGUAGCUUCCCCUCCUUCCACAUCUCCUUGAAUGGGCAACCCUUGAAACCGGGAGGCUGUGCUCCCAUAGCUGAUGCUUGUUGAACCAGGGAAAACAAAAAAUAUAGGGGGAACUCAAUCUAUAAUCUCAUUGGAGCCAGUCAGAUGUCCCCUUUCAGUCCCUACAUAUAGAAACACAAAAAUGGAAGUCAGAAGAGUCCCUGAAAUCAAGGAGAUUUUGGGAAUUUUUGGCUCCAUCCAUAUUGAUGGUCACAAGAAGAAAUUUGGUCUAUUAAAGAAGGCAAGAGAAAUAAUUGAAUGUGUUAGAGAAAGCAGGUAAGUAAGGCACUGCAAAGAGUGGGGCAGGAUCGUGGAGUAAGGGGCUGCCCAAAAUGUUUUGACUUCUGUGAGGACUGGCUCUAUUUUAGGCAUUUUCACGUGGUAAUUCACAUCACAGUCCAGUGAAGUAGGAUGCAUU